ensembl:lncRNA
AGGAAAGCGGAGCAGAAGCACCUGGCCUGGAGAAACCGCAAGUUCUAAGGGGUCUCUUAGAUGGGGAAGAUGGUAGUGUAGUGGUAGAUCUGCCCAGUCUAGGCACACAACACAGCAUGUACUCAUAUUAAUUGAGUUGUGUUUUCAUUGCCCGGGCUUAUUUGGGUUGGAGAUUUACCACAGCACCUGAAGACAUGCUAAGAGACCAACAGCUCUCCCCUACUGAGAUGUGUUGUUUACAGACUCUAGAGCACCCUCGCAGCCUAUGCAGGUGUUCAUGUGUCCUUACUGUCUCUCAUAGAAACUUCUGGCCUCUGGACACUGUGGAAGCAACUUUUCCUUUAUUGGACUGUCUCCUCUUAACUGGUAAGGGCUUAUUCAGAUGGAAUAAAUAGCUUUAAAAAUAUCAGGAACUCUUAGCGUGUUGUGGAACAUAAAGGGAACAGCUUUUUAACACCAAUUACUGAAUUUUCCUGUCUCUCUCGCUCUCUCUGUCUCUGUCUCUCUCUCUAUUUCUCUCUCUGUCUCUCUCUCUCUCUGUCUCUCUCUCUGUCUCUCUGUCACUGUCUCUCUUUCUCUCUCUGUGUCUCUCUCUGUCUCUCUGUCACUGUCUCUCUGUCUCUCUCUGCCUCGCUCUCUGUCUCUCUCUCUCUCUCUCACAUACACACACAUACAUCUUAAGUACCUAGAAGAUACUUUAGCACAGCAAACAUCUCUUUUAUGCUUACGUUAUGCAGUUAUGCAGACUUGGUGUACGUCCUUCAAGGACAGUCUAAGAAUCGUUGAUUCUAUUUCUGCUGGAUACAUUGUUGCAGAGAUGUAAAAAGGAAGGAUUUAGAAAAGUAUGCUAUAAGAAUUGAAUACGCAGAGGCAAACUAACUUCACAAGGAGAAAAGAAAGAUGGAAACAGCCUAGACAAACUCAAAUCAAGUCCAGGAGACUUACGCUAGAGUUGCUUUUUCUUUUUUUUUUUCUCUUUUUUUUAAAGAUUUAUUUAUUUAUUAUAUGUAAGUACACUGUAGCUGUCCUCAGACACUCCAGAAGAGGGAGUCAGAUCUUGUUACGGAUGGUUGUGAGCCACCAUGUGGUUGCUGGGAUUUGAACUCCUGACCUUCGGAAGAGCAGUCGGGUGCUCUUACCCACUGAGCCAUCUCAUCAGCCCUAGAGUUGCUUUUUCUAAUAGAAGAGACCAGUGUGCAAUUGUGAAUUGUGAUGCUGAGGCAAGCCGCAAGGAUGAAGAGAAUUAAAUAGAGGAGGAAGAGAAGAGGUUCUCCCCUCUGUUGCCUGACAUUUUGAUUAAUGUUAUGAGCUAUGUUUACAGUCAAACCCUAUGCCUUCAUCAUUGACCUUUUUGUUCGCUGUAUUCUGUCUUAUCAGGAGAUAGACCAGUGCAAUGGACCUCAUAACCACAUACAAUCUAGUUUUAUGGGGAAACUCCUUGUAUAAAAGUAAGCAGGCCAGACCUGUCACCCAACCUUUAAAUCUUUUAGACAAUUAUAACUACAAAUCUAGCACAACUGCAUGUGGGUGGCUCUUGUUGAGAGAGUUACCCCCUGCCAAUAAACAUACAUGAAUAUAUACA